CAUUAAAAAGCUUAAAGUAAGUCUUGAUCUUUUAAAUCAAUUAUGAUAAUCGCCUAUCUUUAGUGA
rnacentral:tRNA from 1 species